UACGUAGGGGGCAAGCGUUGUCCGGAUUUAUUGGGCGUAAAGAGCGUGUAGGCGGCCAUGCAGGUCCGUUGUGAAAACUCGAGGCUCAACCUCGAGACGCCGGUGGAAACCGUGUGGCUAGAGUCCGGAAGAGGAGAGUGGAAUUCCUGGUGUAGCGGUGAAAUGCGCAGAUAUCAGGAAGAACACCCGUGGCGAAGGCGGCUCUCGUGGGACGUGACUGACGCUGAGACGCGAAAGCGUGGGGAGCAAACAGG
rnacentral:rRNA from 1 species